UACGGAGGGGGCUAGCGUUGUUCGGAAUUACUGGGCGUAAAGCGCACGUAGGCGGUCUCGCAUGUCAGAUGUGAAAGCCCCGGGCUUAACCUGGGAACUGCAUUUGAAACUGCGAAACUCGAGGCCCGGAGAGGGUAGUGGAAUUCCCAGUGUAGAGGUGAAAUUCGUAGAUAUUGGGAAGAACACCGGUGGCGAAGGCGGCUACCUGGACGGGUUCUGACGCUGAGGUGCGAAAGCGUGGGGAGCAAACAGG
rnacentral:misc_RNA from 1 species